CCUACGUGCGGCAGCAGUGAGGAAUAUUGGUCAAUGGACGAGAGUCUGAACCAGCCAAGUAGCGUGAAGGAUGACUGCCCUAUGGGUUGUAAACUUCUUUUAUAAAGGAAUAAAACGAGGCACGUGUGCCUUUUUGCAUGUACUUUAUGAAUAAGGAUCGGCUAACUCCGUGCCAGCAGCCGCGGUAAUAAGGAGGAUCCGAGCGUUAUCCGGAUUUAUUGGGUUUAAAGGGAGCGUAGAUGGGUUGUUAAGUCAGUUGUGAAAGUUUGCGGCUCAACCGUAAAAUUGCAAUUGAUACUGGCAGUCUUGAGUACAGUUGAGGUAGGCGGAAUUCGUGGUGUAGCGGUGAAAUGCUUAGAUAUCACGAAGAACCCCGAUUGCGAAGGCAGCCUACUAAACUGUGACUGACAUUGAUGCUCGAAAGUGUGGGUAUCAAACAGGAUUAGAUACCCCUGUAGUC
rnacentral:rRNA from 1 species